rnacentral:rRNA from 1 species
GACGAACGCUGGCGGCGUGCUUAACACAUGCAAGUCGAACGGAAAGGCCCCUUUGGGGGUACUCGAGUGGCGAACGGGUGAGUAACACGUGAGUAACCUGCCCUUGACUUCGGGAUAACUUCAGGAAACUGGGGCUAAUACCGGAUAGGAAUCCUUGCUGCAUGGUGGGGGUUGGAAAGCUUCGGCGGUUUUGGAUGGACUCGCGGCUUAUCAGCUUGUUGGUGGGGUAGUGGCUUACCAAGGCUUUGACGGGUAGCCGGCCUGAGAGGGCGACCGGCCACAUUGGGACUGAGAUACGGCCCAGACUCCUACGGGAGGCAGCAGGGGGGAAUAUUGCACAAUGGGCGGAAGCCUGAUGCAGCAACGCCGCGUGCGGGAUGACGGCCCUCGGGUUGUAAACCGCUUUCAGCAGGGGCGAAGCUUGUGGUGACGGUACCUGCAGAAGAAGCACCGGCUAACUACGUG